UGUUUCCUUAACAUCAGCUAGGGGAAGAGACCAUGGGAAGCAAGGGGAAAGUUUGGAAGUUGGUCGGUCUUCUUUCCUUUUCCUCCUCCCUCGCGAACAUGCGAAGUAGGUGGCGCCCGGUUUGAAGCAUUGGUGACGGAGCUAGGUGAAGAGCUGUCAUUGCCAGGUGCAUGUGGGCAAUGGUUACAGGUGCUGGCGCGAGUGUCAUAUACGCUGGCACGGUUGCAGAUUUGGGAUAUGCUCCAGACCUAGGAAAUUAUGGAGAAUACAGUGGGGCUCCCAAAGAGAGGUUUUGCAGUAUGCUAGAGUGGUUUUGGAUUGUGUCACCGCUGAUCCUGAUGGCCGAAAGAGAGCUCUUCUCAUUGGAAGUAGUAUAGCAAACUUCAGUGAUGUGGGCUUUAAGAGAGAAGGAUUGUUCAAAAUCCAUGGUGAUUUUGCUAUGACCCUACCUCCAAUUGUAUUCCUGAUCAUGCCUAUUUUUCUAUCUCCGUGCAUUAUAAUCCGCUAGAUUAAACAACUUGUGUAUGCUGAGCUGAGCACUUUCUUUUGCUAAGAGGAAUUAUGCCUGGUUGAGUGGCAGUAAUUCGUGCAGAUUUUACCACCACCGUAUAGCUUAGGGGCGUCACCAUGCCUUCACCUGCGGGGACCUGGCUGAAAGCGAUGGAGAGGAUAAUAAUUAAGUUUGAAGGCGUUGCCAUCUGACCAUAAGGCCGUGGGAAAAUUGAGCAGUAGGUGCCGCUAAGGUCGCAGACCUCACAAUGGUCAUGGAGGUUAUGCACGCACUGCUAAUGAUGAGGCUCAUGUGAUAGGGUUGAUGAUGAGGCUGUCGAUAACAAGCCACACGCAGCAAAGAGGGCCUUCCCUAGAGUCUGCUGCAAUCCAUAUGUCAUUGGGACAGGCUGCUGGAGUGGUGUUCAUGACCGCUGGUGCAGCUUGGGGAGAGAUGCCCGCAUUGAUGUACAACAAGUUUCCUGCAGCCAAGGUUGUGAUUCCUUUUUACUCAGAUUAAGAUGAUAGCAGUAUGGGGUGAGAUGAGACAGCCUGACGAAUAUACUGUUUUCAUUGGUUGCAGGCAUGAGUUUGCCAUACUUGAUAAGGAAGAGAAUAUAUGAAGCUAGGCCAAAGUUAGGGACCGACACUGCUGCUAGCUCGUGUGGAACGGGCAACAAACCAAACCAGAAGUUGGUCUGAUGUAUCUGCAAAUGGUGUAUGUGUAUAAGGUCAUGUUCUGUACAGCCAUAUCUUCAUGACGGGCUCGGCUGCAGGGGCUAGGUGAGAGCUCAUCAGUAUAUGUUAGUAAUGCUCACUACCUCGGCGUCCACUGGUACUUGGUGUGACUUCCAUACAUCAUCAAGCUAGCGAGAUGGGCUCACCGCCUUGACAGCAUCAAGCUAAUGUGAUGCCCUUAUUAUUUGCCUAUAUGCUUCCGCUGGAUGUGUCUUCUAUGCUGCGGCAUUGACCUGCUGUGGUAGCUAUGUAGAUAGGGCUAUGUAAAAGUUAUUUUGUGUAAGUGCAGUACAUCCUCUGGCUGAUUGGGAGGCUUGUAAGAUAAUCCUUCAUCCAGACCCUAUGUUGAGAAUACGGGCUUAGCUUUAUAUGCUCUUUAACUACUCCUAUGCAUGACACGAACUGUUGCCCAGGAAGAAUUUUUGUUGAUACACUUUCCGUC